GAUGAACGCUGGCGGCGUGCCUAAUACAUGCAAGUCGAGCGAACAGACGAGGAGCUUGCUCCUCUGACGUUAGCGGCGGACGGGUGAGUAACACGUGGAUAACCUACCUAUAAGACUGGGAUAACUUCGGGAAACCGGAGCUAAUACCGGAUAAUAUAUUGAACCGCAUGGUUCAAUAGUGAAAGACGGUUUUGCUGUCACUUAUAGGUGGAUCCGCGCCGCAUUAGCUAGUUGGUAAGGUAACGGCUUACCAAGGCAACGAUGCGUAGCCGACCUGAGAGGGUGAUCGGCCACACUGGAACUGAGACACGGUCCAGACUCCUACGGGAGGCAGCAGUAGGGAAUCUUCCGCAAUGGGCGAAAGCCUGACGGAGCAACGCCGCGUGAGUGAUGAAGGUCUUCGGAUCGUAAAACUCUGUUAUUAGGGAAGAACAAAUGUGUAAGUAACUAUGCACGUCUCGACGGUACCUAAUCAGAAAGCCACGGCUAACUACGUG
rnacentral:rRNA from 1 species